rnacentral:misc_RNA from 1 species
CCUCCGUAGGUGAACCUGCGGAGGGAUCAUUACAGAGUUCAUGCCCUACCGGGUAGAUCUCCCACCCUAUUUUAUUAUUACUUUGUUGCUUUGGCGGGCCGUUAGGCUCCGGCCCGACUACCGGCCCCGGCUGGUAAGCGCCCGCCAGAGGACCCAAAACCCUGAAUAUUAGUGUCGUCUGAGUACUAUAUAAUAGUUAAAACUUUCAACAACGGAUCUCUUGGUUCUG